rnacentral:rRNA from 1 species
UACGGGGGGGAGCAAGCGUUGUUCGGAUUUACUGGGCGUAAAGGGCGCGUAGGCGGUCGUGACAAGUCACUUGUGAAAUCUCCGGGCUUAACUCGGAACGGUCAAGUGAUACUGUCGGACUAGAGUACAGAAGGGGCAACUGGAAUUCUCGGUGUAGCGGUGAAAUGCGUAGAUAUCGAGAGGAACACCUGCGGCGAAGGCGGGUUGCUGGGCUGAUACUGACGCUGAGGCGCGAAAGCCAGGGGGAGCGAACGGGG